AUACCUACCUGACAAAGGAAAUACCAUGAUCAUAAAGGUGUCUUUCCCAGAGUGAGGCUUAUCCAUUGCAUUUUGGAUGUGCUGAUCCCUGUGAGUUCCCCAAAUGCGGGAAAUUAGACUGCACAAUUUGCAGCAAUGGGGGACUGCAUUCACAGUCUUCCC
ensembl:snRNA U1 U1 spliceosomal RNA